rnacentral:rRNA from 1 species
GAGCGGCAGCGGGUCCUUCGGGANGCCGGCGAGCGGCGGACGGGUGAGUAAUGCCUAGGAAUCUGCCUGGUAGUGGGGGAUAACUCGGGGAAACUCGAGCUAAUACCGCAUACGUCCUACGGGAGAAAGUGGGGGAUCUUCGGACCUCACGCUAUCAGAUGAGCCUAGGUCGGAUUAGCUAGUUGGUGAGGUAAAGGCUCACCAAGGCGACGAUCCGUAACUGGUCUGAGAGGAUGAUCAGUCACACUGGAACUGAGACACGGUCCAGACUCCUACGGGAGGCAGCAGUGGGGAAUAUUGGACAAUGGGCGAAAGCCUGAUCCAGCCAUGCCGCGUGUGUGAAGAAGGUCUUCGGAUUGUAAAGCACUUUAAGUUGGGAGGAAGGGCAGUAAGUUAAUACCUUGCUGUUUUGACGUUACCAACAGAAUAAGCACCGGCUAACUUCGUGCCAGCAGCCGCGGUAAUACGAAGGGUGCAAGCGUUAAUCGGAAUUACUGGGCGUAAAGCGCGCGUAGGUGGUUCAGCAAGUUGGAGGUGAAAUCCCCGGGCUCAACCUGGGAACUGCCUCCAAAACUACUGGGCUAGAGUAUGGUAGAGGGUGGUGGAAUUUCCUGUGUAGCGGUGAAAUGCGUAGAUAUAGGAAGGAACACCAGUGGCGAANGCGACCACCUGGACUAAUACUGACACUGAGGUGCGAAAGCGUGGGGAGCAAAC